rnacentral:rRNA from 1 species
CUYUUYUUGUUUAUUGUAGGAAGUUUGACCUGCCCGGUGAUUUAUUUUAACGGCCGCGGUAUUCUGACCGUGCAAAGGUAGCAUAAUCAUUAGUUCUUUAAUAGGGAACUGGUAUGAAGGGUUUGACGAGGAGUUGACUGUCUCAUUUUUGAAUUUUUUGAAUUUAACUUUUUGGUUAAAAGGCUUUAAAAUUUUGUUGGUAGACGAGAAGACCCUAUAGAGCUUUACAUUUAAUUAAUUUAUUUUGUUUGUUUUAUUUUAAUUUCUUUUUUUUUUCUUGUUUUGUUGGGGUGAUGUUUGAAUAUGAAUAACUUCUUUGUUUUUUUUCAUUGAUUUAUGUUUUUUUGAUCCUUUAUUAGAGAUUAUUAGAUUAAGUUACCUUAGGGAUAACAGCGUAAUCUUUCCUUGGAGUUCUUAUUUACGGAAAUGCUUGCGACCUCGAUGUUGGAUUAAGAUUAUAGCUUGGUGUAGUAGCUUAGUUGUUGGGUCUGUUCGACCUUUAAAUUCUUACAUGAUCUGAGUUCAAACCGG